rnacentral:misc_RNA from 1 species
AACCUAGCACACCUGCGGUGUGUACCUGCGGAGGGAUCAUUACAGAGUUGCAAAACUCCCUAAACCAUUGUGAACGUUACCUAAACCGUUGCUUCGGCGGGCGGCCCGGGUCCUUCCCGGCGCCCCUCGGCCCUCGCGGGCGCCCGCCGGAGGUAAACCAAACUAUUGCAUUGUAUGGCCUCUCUGAGUCUUCUGUACUGAAUAAGUCAAAACUUUCAACAAUGGAUCUCAGAUCGGAAG